AGGGGAUUGGUCAAGUGGCAUGACAGUGGUCUCCAAAACCAUUAGUGGGGGUUCGAUUCCCUCAUCCCCUGCCA
rnacentral:tRNA from 2 species